GAUGAACUCCGGCGGAUCCUCGAUCGAGGGAACUCCAGCUUCAUGCCUGAACUGAAGACCCUCUGGGGGACUUUUACAACCUGGCACAGUUUUAUGGAGUGUUCAAAAAGGCAAUGAGGCCACUGCGGCCGGACAAAGCAUUCAAUGGCCAUGAUGAAGGCUUUACCAGACAUGUUCCCAUCACUUACAUUAGGACAUGCAAGUUGAGGCUAUGCUUCACAUCCUUGAGUCUACUCCUUUCUUCAGACGAGACCACUCUUCAGCCUUGUUGUUACUGUUUGUGAAACCAACUGCAUACUGGCUAUUGGAACCAUGCCUGUGGUGAUCUUCCCGAAAGAGGACAUCUAUGCCAGUGUGAUGCAUCUCAUGGCGUGUUAUUACACCUUUCACCUCACAUAUCCUAAGCGCAUUGCGACACUCCUCUCUGUGCUGCAGACAGAAGUCCUCGCGGACGCCAUCCACAACUGCAACAUAAUUUCCUCAUAUAAAAAGACUAUGGCAGAGUGGAAAACUUUUAUUACUGACUAGGGUUGUGCAAUACAUUUUGCGAUAACCUCUGUGUAUUGACCAAUCAGAGAUCAGAUAACCUUUAAUAUAUAGGCAGGCCAUUUUGUUUAUUAUGAGAAGGUUUAUCUUGCCGUAGGUUUUACAUUUUCAUUUUCAGUUUGACCACCAAUGGCCAUUGUAGUUGUUUUUGCAUCCUUUGUUCUGCCCAUAUACAGACUCCUCAAUAAAUAAAUGAAAAGAGAUUAUUUAAUUAUUUCUUUAAGCCAUUCUCAUCUCUAGUAGUAGUGCAAGUACAUGUAUCUGAGUUAUGAAUACUUAUUUUAAUCAUGAUAUGCUAUUUUUCUGUAAAUUCCUGGGUAUAUAUAUUAGAGUGCAGUACAACGAAAUUCACUUAG